rnacentral:rRNA from 1 species
UCAGGACGAACGCUGGCGGCGUGCUUAACACAUGCAAGUCGAGCGGUAAGGCCCUUCGGGGUACACGAGCGGCGAACGGGUGAGUAACACGUGAGCAACCUACCCUCAACUUUGGGAUAAGCCUAGGAAACUGGGUCUAAUACCGGAUAUCACUGCCUGCUUCAUGGUGGGUGGUUGAAAGCUUUUGCGGUUGGGGAUGGGCUCGCGGCCUAUCAGCUUGUUGGUGGGGUAAUGGCCUACCAAGGCGUCGACGGGUAGCCGGCCUGAGAGGGCGACCGGCCACACUGGGACUGAGACACGGCCCAGACUCCUACGGGAGGCAGCAGUGGGGAAUAUUGCGCAAUGGGCGAAAGCCUGACGCAGCAACGCCGCGUGAGGGAUGACGGCCUUCGGGUUGUAAACCUCUUUCAGCAGGGACGAAGCGAGAGUGACGGUACCUGCAGAAGAAGGACCGGCCAACUACGUGCCAGCAGCCGCGGUAAUACGUAGGGUCCGAGCGUUGUCCGGAAUUAUUGGGCGUAAAGGGCUCGUAGGCGGUUUGUUGCGUCGGGAGUGAAAACUCGGAGCUUAACUCCGAGCUUGCUUCCGAUACGGGCAGACUAGAGGUAGGCAGGGGAGAGCGGAACUCCUGGUGUAGCGGUGGAAUGCGCAGAUAUCAGGAAGAACACCGGUGGCGAAGGCGGCUCUCUGGGCCUAUUCUGAC